AAUCACAACCUUUGCUAGAACCUCCAAACAAGCUCUCAAGGUCCAUUUGUAGAAGAACGUAGGGUAGUAAAGCUUCCAAGAACUCCAGACAUAGCCAAAAGAGGCGCUACAUGUGGCAGCCUGCCUUUCUCC
rnacentral:snRNA from 1 species